UGAACCAUCGAGUCUUUGAACGCAAGUUGCGCCCGAAACCAUUAGGUCGAGGGCACGCCUGCCUGGGCGUCACGCAUCGAGUCGCCCCCCGGACUCCCCUCUCGGGGACGGGUCGGGGGCGCGAACGCUGGCCUCCCGUGCGCGACUAUUGCGCGGCUGGCCUAAACUUUACGGUUUCCUCGGCGACGCGUCGCGGGACGAGUUCUGGACGACUGCGUCCGACUCCGUGUCGCCGUGCGAAACUCCCAGGACCCUCGAAUUUCGUCUCCUUCUCGGGGGAGACGGGGCUCACCAAUGCGACCCCAGGU
rnacentral:rRNA from 1 species